UCCUAUUAAAGCCAAGCAUAUCUGAACUAAUUGGCACUUUAAACCCAUUAAGAAAAUAUUUAACAGAACACUUGAACUCACAAAACAGUGGAGACUAAUACCAUUAGUACAAAAAGAAAAUGACUCCCCUGAACUCAAAAUAAAUAUGACAUGCGCUAAAGACCCCUAACUCAUUAGGCUCAAUUGAUAACAAACUAGCAAAUAGCAUCAAAGUCACCAAUCACUAAAAUUGCAUGCUCAAGGAUAAAGAAAAACGAAACAAAGUUCUGCAGUAUAUACAAGUGACACACCAGUCCUUAAGCUCGAACAAUCUCAAACUUAGUAGCCUAACUAAAUGAUGGACCUAUAAUCACCGAGAACCAUUUCGAAUCGGCAUUCAAAUUUAGCAAUCAUGUGAGAACUCUUUCAAUUCCGAGAGAUUGAAUAAUAUAUCUGACUUUUAGAAUACGCGAAGAGGCUUCAACUAGAGAAGGAAAUAAAAAUAAACCAACACAUACACAUUUCGGCGAAACAACUCGAUUUUGACAUCAUUUACAACUGAAAUAACAGACAAACAGCUAGCAAUAUGCAAAGCAUGGAACCAUCACGGCAAGAAUGACUACGCUUGAAGCUUAACUUAAAAUCUAUCAAAAAUUGGACAAGUCACUCAUAUCAUAGCCAAACAGAUCAAAACAUAAGAGCUGCCAUUUUUACAAACAAUCACUCGUUCAUUUUUCUUAUACGAACUGAAAUUAAAACACUCAAAUACCCUAACCCAGGCUUUUAUCAUAUUUUAAUAACACCAGAACAAACACAAAAGGGGAGAGGAACAGACCUGAUGGAUGUAAAUUUCUUUCAAUAGGAAAAAGUAGGAAUUUCGGCUACAAUAUUCUGAAUCCAAAAUCCGAACGAGAAAACAACCACAAGAAACCGAAGAAACAUAGAACCACGACCGGAAUCCGGAAUGUUUGAACUCUAACUCCUACUGCCUCAAACGAACCUCGAACAAAACUAGAGUCGACAAACGACUCAAUCGAAUUCCAUACUUGACACCCAAAAUUCAAAGUAAAGUCAAAGAAGAAACUAAGUCGAAGGAGAAAUUGAAGAACUAUAUUAUUAUUAUUAUUUUUGUUUUGUAUUUUUUUUUGAAUUUAAACUAAACUGUUAAAACAAAAUUCAAAAAAAUGAAGAGAAGUCCUUUUCUGAAACUCUAAUUUUCCCCAAAAACCUUUGUUCUCCGUUCUUCUCCCCCUUCUUCUUUUCCUCAGAUAUAUGUGUGUGUAUAUAUAUAUAUAUAUAUAUAAUAUGGCCCUCUCCAAUCUUCUUCCCCUGCUCUCAAAAAUCCCUAAAUUGACGAGAUAAGACAGAUGUAGGGAGUAGAUCGAAUGUAACUCGAUCCUACGCCCCACAUUUUUUCUAUAUCGCCAAACAAAAAAUGAAUCUGAAAGAGAAAGAAAGAGAGCGUAAAAUCCGGAAGGAAUAAUUCUGUUUUUGUCAGAAAUCCGUUAGGAUUAGAGUGACGUGGAGAAAGGAGAUGAGGAAUGGAUCAUGUGGGGGAUUGGGUUCGGGUCUUUGGCGGGUUUGGGUGGAGUUGAGGCAGGUAGAAGCAUUUGGUGAAGAAAGGGUGCGGCUGGUGGGGGAAUUAGGGUUGUUAGGAAUU
rnacentral:lncRNA from 1 species